GGCGUGGCUGGGACACGCUGCUCUCUGUUGACACCCACCACUUUGCUGUGGCUCUGCUGGGCAGAGAAAUUUGCCAAUCAGACAUACACUUUUGUUCCGA